rnacentral:piRNA from 1 species
UAAAUCACAGAAUGAAACAGU